rnacentral:rRNA from 1 species
UGGGGAAUAUUGGACAAUGGGCGCAAGCCUGAUCCAGCAAUGCCGCGUGUGUGAAGAAGGCCUUCGGGUUGUAAAGCACUUUUAUCAGGAGCGAAAUCGGCAAGGUUAAUACCCGUGUCGUCUGACGGUACCUGAGGAAUAAGCACCGGCUAACUUCGUGCCAGCAGCCGCGGUAAUACGAAGGGUGCAAGCGUUAAUCGGAAUUACUGGGCGUAAAGGGUGCGUAGGCGGUUAGUUAAGUCUGUUGUGAAAUCCCCGGGCUCAACCUGGGAAUGGCAAUGGAUACUGGCUGACUAGAGUGUGUCAGAGGAUGGUGGAAUUCCCGGUGUAGCGGCGAAAUGCGUAGAGAUCGGGAGGAACAUCAGUUGGCGAAGGCGGCCAUCUGGGACAACACUGACGCUGAAGCACGAAGCGUGGGGAGCAAACA